GGCUUCUGGGCCAGGGAGAGAGGAAAGGGCUCUUUCCUGGCACCACAUGGUGCCAAGGAGGAAGAGGAGGAGGAGGUAGAUGAGGUGAAGCAAGAAAGGCAACAAGGCAAGAUGUGAUAAAUUACUGCAGCAUCAAAGAUGAAAGUGAGCUGCAAGGACAUGAAAAAGGAUGAAACUGAAGGCAUCCAGAUAGUGUCCUGCCUCAGGGACUGCCCAAUGGCAACCCUAAUUGAUGCAAGGGACAGAGUCUGUCAAGGAGAGCAAAGGCCCUUUGGGAAAUGAAAACAGAAAUGAUUCCCAGCGUCUUAAGCCCUGGUACUGUGCCAGGUAAAUUAUUCAGAAACGAGAGCUUGGGGUUGUAUCACCAGUGGUUUCAUCCUGUGCAUCCAAGCC